rnacentral:rRNA from 1 species
AGAGUUUGAUCAUGGCUCAGAGUGAACGCUGGCGGUAGGCAUAACACAUGCAAGUCGAACGGCAGCACAGUAAGAGCUUGCUCUUAUGGGUGGCGAGUGGCGGACGGGUGAGGAAUACAUCGGAAUCUACCUUUUCGUGGGGGAUAACGUAGGGAAACUUACGCUAAUACCGCAUACGACCUUCGGGUGAGAGCAGGGGACCUUCGGGCCUCGCGCGGAUAGAUGAGCCGAUGUCGGAUUAGCUAGUUGGCGGGGUAAAGGCCCACCAAGGCGACGAUCCGUAGCUGGUCUGAGAGGAUGAUCAGCCACACUGGAACUGAGACACGGUCCAGACUCCUACGGGAGGCAGCAGUGGGGAAUAUUGGACAAUGGGCGCAAGCCUGAUCCAGCCAUACCGCGUGGGUGAAGAAGGCCUUCGGGUUGUAAAGCCCUUUUGUUGGGAAAGAAAAGCAGUCGGCUAAUACCCGGUUGUUCUGACGGUACCCAAAGAAUAAGCACCGGCUAACUUCGUGCCAGCAGCCGCGGUAAUACGAAGGGUGCAAGCGUUACUCGGAAUUACUGGGCGUAAAGCGUGCGUAGGUGGUUGUUUAAGUCUGUUGUGAAAGCCCUGGGCUCAACCUGGGAAUUGCAGUGGAUACUGGGCGACUAGAGUGUGGUAGAGGGUAGUGGAAUUCCCGGUGUAGCAGUGAAAUGCGUAGAGAUCGGGAGGAACAUCCAUGGCGAAGGCAGCUACCUGGACCAACACUGACACUGAGGCACGAAAGCGUGGGGAGCAAACAGGGUUAGAUACCCUGGUAGUCCACGCCCUAAACGAUGCGAACUGAUGUUGGGUGCAAUUUGGCACGCAGUAUCGAAGCUAACGCGUUAAGUUCGCCGCCUGGGGAGUACGGUCGCAGACUGAAACUCAAAUGAAUUGACGG